UACGAAGGGGGCUAGCGUUGUUCGGAAUUACUGGGCGUAAAGCGCGCGCAGGCGGCUAUCCAAGUCAGUGGUGAAAGCCCGGAGCUCAACUCCGGAACUGCCAUUGAAACUGUUUAGCUUGAGGACGAGAGAGGUGAGUGGAAUUCCCAGUGUAGAGGUGAAAUUCGUAGAUAUUGGGAAGAACACCGGUGGCGAAGGCGGCUCACUGGCUCAUUACUGACGCUCAGGCGCGACAGCGUGGGGAUCAAACAGG
rnacentral:rRNA from 1 species